rnacentral:rRNA from 1 species
AGCAGCCGCGGUAAUUCCAGCUCCAAUAGCGUACAUUAAAGUUGUUGCAGUUAAAAAGCUCGUAGUUGAAUUUCGGGAUCAGUGGGUCGGUCGUGCCACUGGUAUGCACUGGCCCUACUGGUUCCUCCUUCUUGAAGAACUGUAAUGCCAUUAAUUUGGUGUUGCAGGGAAACAGGACUGUUACUUUGAAAAAAUUAGAGUGUUUAAAGCAGGCAAUCGCUUGAAUACAUUAGCAUGGAAUAAUGAAAUAGGACGAUCGAUCCUAUUUUGUUGGUUUCUAGGAUUGACGUAAUGAUUAAUAGGGAUAGUUGGGGGCAUUAGUAUUCAAUUGUCAGAGGUGAAAUUCUUGGAUUUAUUGAAGACUAACUACUGCGAAAGCAUUUGCCAAGGAUGUUUUCAUUAAUCAAGAACGAAAGUUAGGGGAUCGAAGACGAUCAGAUACCGUCGUAGUCUUAACCAUAAACUAUGCCGACUAGGGAUCGGAUGAUGUAAUUUUUAAUG